CUCUCCCGGCCAAACUUCAAUCCCGGUGUGACAGAGGCUGCCCCUCUCGCAGAUCCGGGUUGUUGCUCCGAGACCCAGACUUUGCAGGACCACUGGCUGGUACCUCCCCGGACAGGCCUGGCGCCUAACAGAUCCUUACAGCUAGUGGAUGCUCAAGAUGCUAUGGGUGAUGAGCCAACGUCUACAGCCUCCUCCAAGACAAGCAUUUCGGUCCUGGCCUCUGGGGAUCUGUUUUUGAAGCAGGAGGUCAUUUCGUACUUAUUGUGGGCUCUGCAGUUGUCAAGUAAAAACAAGGGCCCAACCCAGGCCUUGGCUUCCAGGAGGCACUCAGCAUGUGUCGUGUGAAUGAAGUGACAGUCCUUCCUGUAAGAGUCUGCUUUCCUGAGUGGCUGGCAGUCAGUCAUCCAGCAUCAGAGUCCCUCACCAACACGAACACUCAAGCCGGAGGAAGGGAUUUCGAUAAAUGAGAAGCCCGAUUUUCAGAACCCCAAACCAAACUGCCUUCAAGCA